rnacentral:tRNA from 1 species
GACGCUAUAGCCAAGGGGUUACGGCGACGGAUUAGAAAUCUGUUCCUUUCUGAGGGCGUAGGUUCGAAUCCUGCUGGUGUCG